AAUGGUGAGAUUUAUUCUCUUGCCACAUCUAUUGUUAUGUGCGGAUAAAGAUAUCCUCCCACUGGCUACAUUGUUAUGUGCGGAUAAAGAGAUCCUCCCACUGGCUACAUUGUUAUGUGCGGAUAAAGAGAUCCUCCCACUGGCUACAUUGUUACUGGCUACAUUGUUAUGUGCGGAUAAAGAUAUCCUCCCACUGGCUACAUUGUUAUGUGCGGAUAAAGAGAUCCUCCCACUGGCUACAUUGUUACUGGCUACAUUGUUAUGUGCGGAUAAAGAUAUCCUCCCACUGGAUACAUUGUUAUGUGCGGAUAAAGAGAUCCUCCCACUGGCUACAUUGUUACUGGCUACAUUGUUAUGUGCGGAUAAAGAGAUCCUCCCACGGAUGAUUAAAUCAUGGAACUUGCCAACAAAGACAGCUAAUGAUAACAUGUCACAGUUAGAAAAAGAAGAAAAGGAUGCUGAUGCAAUCAUCGCUCCAUAUCAGGUAGGAGAGCUGAUUGAUAGAGAUGAGAUCAACAUUCCGUCUACAAAGCAGUUAUCAGAAUAGAACCUGGGUGAAGCUGAUAGCUACAACGGAACCACAAGUGUACUCCUGAUAGCUACAACGGAACCACAAGUGUACUCCUGAUAGCUACAACGGAACCACAAGUGUACUCCUGAUAGCUACAACGGAACCACAAGUGUACUCCUGAUAGCUACAACGGAACCACAAGUGUACUCCUGGCUGAUAGCUACAACGGAACCACAAGUGUACUCCUGGUUCAAUAAUGGCCUCAACUAUCAGGCCGAGUUUAUAAAGAUGCAACACUGGCAAAUAUUGUCGGGUUCAGACUACUACAAGUGCCCCGGACAAGGAGAGUGGUGCAUCAGACGAGCUCACGUGUGCAAUGGUUACGAUGACUGUGUGGGGGGAGCUGAUGAAACUGAUGUGGAGUGUGGACAUAUUCGUUAGCUGUGGUUUUGGCUGCGGCUUUUAUGAGGCUGUGCGUUUGAAAACUAUUUUGCGAUUAAUCUAAGAUUUUCUGCUGGUAAGAAAUGAUUUUACAUCUUUUGUUUGAGAUAACUUUGAUAAUUAUGUCCAGGAUUGAUAAACAUAUUGUCAAUAUUUUCCGUUCCAUGAAAAUCAUACGAGUAAGAUAAUACUUUUUUGUGGAUUUUAGAGACAUGUUAUGCUUUUAAGUUAAUGAUAUUUCGCUGUCAAAAUGCAGAUUUGAAAGAUUCAUCAUAGAUUGCUUUGUGCUAUAGAAAAAGAACUUGAUCGUUUUUCUUUGGUUUUGUGUGAGAUUGCAAUAUCAUCAUUUAAUUUCUAAAAAAUA